rnacentral:tRNA from 1 species
GUCAGAGCACUGGACUGUGGCUCCAGGGGUUGAGGGUUCGAUUCCCUUCGGUCACC